rnacentral:rRNA from 1 species
UACGUAGGGCGCAAGCGUUAUCCGGAAUUAUUGGGCGUAAAGAGCUCGUAGGCGGUUUGUCGCGUCUGCCGUGAAAAGUCCGGGGGCUCAACUCCGGAUCUGCGGUGGGUACGGGCAGACUAGAGUGAUGUAGGGGGAGACUGGAAUUCCUGGGUGUAGCGGUGAAAAUGCGCAGAUAUCAGGAGGAACACCGAUGGCGAAGGCAGGUCUCUGG